GGACCAGGGGAAUCCGACUGUUUAAUUAAAACAAAGCAUCGCGAAGGCCCGCGGCGGGGGUUGACGCGAUGUGAUUUGUGCCCAGUGCUCUGAAUGUCAAAGUGAAGAAAUUCAAUGAAGCGCGGGUAAACGGCGGGAGUAACUAUGACUCUCUUAAGACGGGACCAUAGUUACUGGCUGGGCUGAGCUGCAGAAGUCACACCUCCUUGUGGUCCCGCUGGAUGCCCUUUGGGUAACCAAGUUGACCUCUGCCCCAGUGCGAUGGAAUUAUAGUUACUUCCUCCCUAUCGAACGGCCUCACCAACCAAUCGAUAGUAUCUAAAUAAGGUGACACAAAGUCCU
rnacentral:ncRNA from 1 species